GACAAUUAAGUCAUUUCCCAUAAGCCCCUACAGAUUUCAUAUACGUGGCUGGGUUUGUGUACGCAAAACUACACGUUUAAUUUUUAUAUGAUUUCACCUGUAUUUUAAUUUUUAAGAUAACACGUUUGGUUUUCCAUUAAUUUCUUUCACAUUACUUCUCAUGUUCCUCUUCUCGCUCAAAUUGCAGGUAUGUUUCACUUUCAAUCAAUUUUUCCUAUAUCUUUUUUCUUUUUUUCCUUUUGUUCUUUCUUCACUCUGGGGUUUUCUAGAUCUGCUAUUUGGUUUUGGAUUUUGUUGUACUUAUGAAUUGUGUUGAGUUUCUCUGCACUCUGUUCUUGGUUUACCCAUUUCUUCGUGAUGAUACGUUGGCAGAUAUGUGUUGGUUUCCUUCAAAUAAGAAUUUGAUAAAGAACAAACAGUCUAUGUAUUAAUCUUUUUGUUUCUAUUAAUUUGCGCCUUUCUCCCAUUUUUUCAGUUGCGCCUCCCUAUUUAUGAUGCUUUUGUUGUUUUGUUUAUUUCAUCAUAAAUAGUUUUCUUCUCAUUCUUUCGCUCAAGUGCUUUGUUAUUUUAGUUUUUUUUUUGAGUUUUCAUGUGGUACUUAAUUCUUGGAUUGUAGUUGCAGUUAUCUGAUAGUGUUGGUGAUUUAUUAUCUUCCAGUUUCCUACUUCUCCUUUUUGACUAUCCGAACGAAGCAAAGGUUCAGAGUGAUUCGUGUAGGGUGUAAGCAGGGUUGGAGUUUCCAGACCGCUGAUUGGCGAUUUUGAGGUACCACCCUUUUAAUUAUAGUAAUGGAUGGAAGUUUACACGGGCUAAUACUGAGAUGUGGUUUGACUGUGGUUUGGAGUUUCCUUUUGUAGUCUUAAAUUUUAGUUCUUCCUCUUCUAUUUUCUUCAAUAUCGCUCCCAAUAUAAAUUCAUUGGUUCCAAGCCACCGUUAAAUGAGUAAACUUUUGAAUUACUGUAAUCAUUGGUAGAUGAAAAAACUGAGCCGUGUAAUAUGAUAAAAGAUUGCUUACUUAUAGAUAACUGAGUGUAGUUAACUUAGAUAUGUUUGGUGUCAAUUAUCUAGAAAUACCAGCGUUACUUAAAUUCCUUCUUCAUCUCAAAACAGAAUCAAAUGCACAAUAUUGUAUGAGAAAAGUAGUUAAAUAAUUGAUUAGAAAAGAUAUUCAUAUGCUAUUUUUGUAAGAACAUAUAUUUAUACUUCACGACGUGUAACUUCAACGUGAAAUCCUAGGAACUCAACUUAGGAAACAUUUUUUGCAAGAUGGUAUAGCUUGCAAGAGACAAGAUUACAACGAAGAUAAUAUGCUUAGAUCGGCUGUGAUGAAACAACCUCCAUGUCAUUGGACUGUUCUGCAAAGUUGAAAAUUUAUUUGGCCUACUUGAUAUUUACAAUAACUUGAAAUAUACUUUGAAAACUAUUUGGUCACUUACCUCGAAGACUUCAAAAUCCUACUGUUUGUUCCUUACUCAUCACUUUGGAGCUGUCUUACUGCUACCUUCAGUAUCUGCUAGCUUUCUUCACUUCUUUGCCAUGAUCACUUCUAUUACACUUUUUGACCUUUGUUAAUUUAAGUAGUCUCUUCAAUAAAUGAGCUCUCUUUGUUAAACAGACACAAUUGUAACUUCAUGUGCAAAGAAGUGAAGAAAGCUAUUAAAGAUAUGCAAUUUAAAGAUGAAAUCUGCAAUAAAGUUUUAAGCGUACCGUUUCAUUUUGAAUUUUUAGCUGUCUCAUCUAUGACGUCUAAUAUUUUAUCUUAUUAUAAAAUCUACAAGAAGUAUAUUACAAAGGCAAGUCUGUACUUUGUCUACUUUUAUAUGAACAUGACAAGAGGGGUUGCUCUGAUGGUAAGCAACCUCCACUUCCAACCAAGAGGUUGUGAGUUCGAGUCUCCCAAGAGCAAGGUGGGAAGUUCUUGGAGGAAAGGAUGCUGGGUCUAUUUGGAAACAGCAUCUCUACCCCAGGGUACCCAAGGGUAGGGGUAAGGUCUGCAUACACACUACCCUUUUCAGACCCCAUUAAAUGAGAUUAUAAUAGGUUGUUAUUGAUAAAUGGUCAUUACUUUGUAUUUGUGCAGGUGUUUUUUCAAGGACGGAUAAGAAGAAAAAACACUACGCUUGGGAGAUGCAUCACUUUUUGUGUGUAUAUAAUAUAUAUGAGUGGAUAUUUUUUCAAAACUGUAUGUCAAUUAGCAUGAUGAUGUUGGGCCCGUGAGCGAGCCAUCAGUUCCUAGUAAAACUUAAAAUUGAAAGAAAUUGAUGAUAAUAUAAAACUUAAAAUCGACAAAUAUUUAUGUACACUGAACUUUCUAUAUUUAAAGAAAAAUUCACUUUAUUUAACACAUUAUUCAACUUGCUUUCUAGCACACCUAUCAUUCAACUAACAAUGCAUGAAACGCCAAUAUGGCUUAACUAAGAGAUUGUAGUGUCUCAUCCUCAAGUCUAUUAUUCUAAUUGCUAAUAUCACAAAUAAUUCCAGCUUUUUAUAGAUACACAAUACAACUACCCUCUACUAGUCACUGCUAUUUGAAAUGUGCCUGAAACUACCAUGAUUACUGGCUUGAAGCUCCGGCCACAUAAGAGUAAUAAUAUUCAAGAUAUAUGACACAGCAAAAUUUCAGAACUGCCCCAAGCUACCCUUGUUCGUUUUUUUUUCCUUUCGGAAAUAACAGUGGUUUCUAGGCCAGCUUUUGCAUUUUGACAAUUUCACCGGGUACCUUUAACUCCCAACAGCAUAGAUACCGAAUUACUCUGCUCACGAAGGCUUGCACUGCUCCAUGCUAUUAUUCACCGACCAUAAACUUCAGCUCUAUAUUGAAGAGAAACGGAAAGAAACAUGUACUAGAAUGCUAUAGUAUUCAGCUAAUUACACAGCUUAAGUAUUCACAUUUUUACACUUCAGUACUGAAUGCCAAAGCACCAUCAAUAUAUAGAUAAUAAGGCUAAUGUUGCUCAAAGAAUGAAAGCAUAGAUCAC
rnacentral:lncRNA from 1 species